rnacentral:rRNA from 1 species
GACGAACGCUGGCGGCGUGCCUAAUACAUGCAAGUAGGACGCAGUUGCGAACGGAUGAGUAACGCGUAGGUAACUACCUAUUAGAGGGGGAUAACUAUUGGAAACGAUAGCUAAUACCGCAUACUAGUAGAUGGACCUGCGUUGUAUUAGCUAGUAGGUAGGGUAAUGGCCUACCUAGGCAACGAUACAUAGCCGAGCGUAGAGGGUGACCGGCCACACUGGGACUGUGACACGGCCCAGACCCCCACGGGAGGCAACAGUAGGGAAUCUUCGGGAAUGGGGGGAACCCAGACCGAGCAACGGCGCGUGAGUGAAGAAGGUUUUCGGAUCGUAAAGCUCUUUUGUUAAGGAAGCGGUACUUAACCAGAAAGGGACGGCUAACUACGUGCAAGCAGCCGCGGUAAUUC